CCUACGGGAGGCAGCAGUGAGGAAUAUUGGUCAAUGGACGAGAGUCUGAACCAGCCAAGUAGCGUGAAGGAUGACUGCCCUAUGGGUUGUAAACUUCUUUUAUAUUGGAAUAAAACGUUCCACGUGUGGGAUUUUGUAUGUACCAUAUGAAUAAGGAUCGUCUACCUCCGUGCCAGCAGCCGGGGUAAUCCGGAGGUUCCGAGCGUUAUCCGGAUUUUUUGGGUUUAAAGGGAGCGUAGGUGGAUUGGUAAGUCAGUUGUGAAAGUUUGCGGCUCAACCGUAGAAUUGCAGUUGAAACUGGCAGUCUUGAGUACAGUAGAGGUGGGCGGAAUUCGUGGUGUAGCGGUGGAAUGCUUAGAUAUCACGAAGAACUCCGAUUGCGAAGGCAGUUCACUGGACUGCAACUGACACUGAGGCUCGAAAGUGUGGGUAUCAAACAGGAUUAGAUACCCCAGUAGUC
rnacentral:rRNA from 1 species